rnacentral:rRNA from 1 species
CAGCCGCCGCGGUAAUACCCGCGGCCCGAGUGGUGGUCGAUUUUAUUGAGCCUAAAACGUCCGUAGCCGGCCUGGUAAAUCCUUGGGUAAAUCGGGCAGCUUAACUGUCCGAAGUCCGGGGAGACUGCCAGGCUUGGGACCAGGAGAGGUCAGAGGUACUUCCGGGGUAGGGGUAAAAUCCUGUAAUCCUGGAAGGACCACCGGUGGCGAAGGCGUCUGACUAGAACGGAUCCGACGGUGAGGGACGAAGCCCUGGGGCGCAAACGGGAUUAGAUACCCCGGUAGUCCAGGGUGUAAACGCUGCGGGCUUGGUGUUGGGAGUCCUCUGAGGGCGCCCAGUGCCGGAGAGAAGUUGUUAAGCCUGCUGCUUGGGGAGUACGUCCGCAAGGAUGAAACUUAAAGGAAUUGGCGGG